rnacentral:rRNA from 1 species
GGCCAGACUCCUACGGGAGGCAGCAGUGGGGGAUAUUGCACAAUGGGGGGAACCCUGAUGCAGCGACGCCGCGUGGGUGAAGAAGUAUUUCGGUAUGUAAAGCCCUAUCGGCAGGGAAGAAAUUGGACGGUACCUGACUAAGAAGCCCCGGCUAACUACGUGCCAGCAGCCGCGGUAAUACGUAGGGGGCAAGCGUUAUCCGGAUUCACUGGGUGUAAAGGGAGCGUAGACGGCCAUGCAAGCCUGGAGUGAAAGCCCGGGGCCCAACCCCGGGACUGCUCUGGGAACUGUGCGGCUGGAGUGCGGGAGGGGCAGGCGGAAUUCCUGGUGUAGCGGUGAAAUGCGUAGAUAUCAGGAGGAACACCGGCGGCGAAGGCGGCCUGCUGGACCGCGACUGACGUUGAGGCUCGAAAGCGUGGGGAGCAAACAGGAUUAGAUACCCUCGUAC